rnacentral:rRNA from 1 species
AAUAGAUACCCAGGUAGUCCACGCCGUAAACGAUGAGUGCUAGGUGUUGGGGGCAUCACGUCCUCAGUGCCGAAGGAAACCCAAUAAGCACUCCGCCUGGGGAGUACGGCCGCAAGGCUGAAACUCAAAGGAAUUGACGGGGGCCCGCACAAGCGGUGGAGCAUGUGGUUUAAUUCGAAGCAACGCGAAGAACCUUACCAAGGCUUGACAUCCCAUUGACCGCGCUAGAGAUAGUGCUUCCCUUCGGGGCAAUGGUGACAGGUGGUGCAUGGUUGUCGUCAGCUCGUGUCGUGAGAUGUUGGGUUCAGUCCCGCAACGAGCGCAACCCUUAUCCUUAGUUGCCAGCAAGUCAUGUUGGGCUCUCUAAGGAGACAGCCGGUGAAAGCCGGAGGAAGGUGGGGAUGACGUCAAAUCAUCAUGCCCCUUACGUCUUGGGCUACACACGUGCUACAAUGGAUGGUACAAAGGGCAGCAAAACCGCGAGGUCGAGCAAAUCCCAUAAAGCCAUUCUCAGUUCGGAUUGUA